UCCGCAUUGCUCUGUCACUGCUGCAACAAGAACUUCAGUCACCAAGGAGUUAGAUCUUGAAUACCUGCCAGAAAACUCUUCUAUUACAAAUUUUUAAACAGUUAUGGAAGAAGCCCAUGAAUGUCUGGAAAGAGUGCUGGAAAGUGCAAACCUCACGAAAGAGUGUAAUGAAUAUGUGAAAAAAAUUAUUAUGGAAAUGGAAUAUAGCAUUUCAGACCGCUUCAGUUUUCCCAGAAAGAGAGAUACGAGAUCUAAACAAUCUGAACAUAUUAUAAACAAAGGAGUUUUGAAAGUCUAUUACAAUAUUGUGACUACAUUCUUACGAAAAUGCAAUUUUUCUAACCUGACUACAGUCCAGCAACUUAAAGACCUACAGGUGUACAAGGAAAUAGAAUACCCUUUAUUAAUUAAAAGUAUUCAAACUGGUUUUCCA